rnacentral:rRNA from 1 species
GUAAAUAAUAAUUAUGAAAGCAAAAAAUUAUGGCGGUAUUUUAAGCUUUUCAGAGGAAUUUGCUCUUUAAUGGAUAAAACACCAAAAUCUUACUUAGAUUUGUGAUUUCAAUUUGUAUACCACUAUUAAAACAAUUUAUAACUUUAAUUGUUUAAAUUUACAAAACUAAAAUAUAUUAAGUCAAGGUGCAGUAAAAAUUUAAGGAUGAAGUGAAUUACAUUACUUUUUAGUGAGAUAAGUUUAUAACAAUAUUUAGGAUUUGAAAGUAAAAUUAAAAUAGGAUGGUUAUUUACAAUUAAGCUCUAAAGAAU